UGGGGAAUAUUGCACAAUGGAGGGAACUCUGAUGCAGCGACGCCGCGUGAACGAAGAAGGCUUUCGAGUCGUAAAGUUCUUUUAUAUGGGAAGAUAAUGACGGUACCAUAAGAAAAAGCCCCGGCUAACUACGUGCCAGCAGCCGCGGUAAUACGUAGGGGGCUAGCGUUGUCCGGAAUCACUGGUCGUAAAGGGUUCGCAGGCGGAAAUGCAAGUCAGGUGUAAAAGGCAGUAGCUUAACUACUGUAAGCAUUUGAAACUGCAUAUCUUGAGAAGAGUAGAGGUAAGUGGAAUUUUUAGUGUAGCGGUGAAAUGCGUAGAUAUUAAAAAGAAUACCGGUGGCGAUGGCGACUUACUGGGCUCAUUCUGACGCUGAGGAACGAAAGCGUGGGUAGCAAACAGG
rnacentral:rRNA from 1 species